rnacentral:rRNA from 1 species
UACGAAGGGGGCUAGCGGUGUGCGGAAGCACGGGGCGGAAAGCGCACGUAGGCGGAUUUUUAAGUCAGGGGGGAAAUCCCGAGGCUCAACCUCGGAACUGCCUUUGAUACUGGGGAUCUGGAGUCCGGGAGAGGUGAGCGGAACUGCGAGUGUAGGGGUGAAAUUCGUAGAUAUUCGCAAGAACACCAGUGGCGAAGGCGGCUCACUGGCCCGGAACUGACGCUGAGGUGCGAAAGCGUGGGGAGCAAACAGG